rnacentral:lncRNA from 1 species
ACCAAGGCCGCAUCACUCCCAAAUCCUCACCUCUGCCCUCAGGUUCCAUGGAGACUCCUUCCUCCGGCCCGCGCUGGAGGCAACCGCGACAGGGGAAGGAGCCGGAGGUCCGCCGCUCGGGUCCCCCAAGAGGCCGGGAACGCACGCGUGGGCAGCCUGGCGCCCCCACCCGGGGGUCCUCCCGCCACCCUCCUCCCGGACACUCAGAUUAAAAGGGGAUGCGUUCAGCCCUCCUCUACCCUGGGUUCGACCUCCAGCCACACACUGAGGAAGCCGAGCCCGACGACAAAGGCAUCUAACAGCCGGCGGGGACGCCUAGCGCCGGCCAACCAUGAGGCCGAACUACCACUCCCAGAAUCCUCCGCGGGGCGCGGCUGACGGCCCUCACUCCCAACACCGCUUCCCAGAGGACCCUGCGGCCACCUGCUCCCGGGGCUGCGUUUCUUGCCGCGGCACGCUCCUGACCGACCUGGAGGAGCGCUGACCAGCUGGCUGAACCCUGCCAGCGACUCUGGAAGGGCCGCUCCUCCCUCGGUGCCGACUCUGGGCGGUGGCCGCGCCAAACCCCGCCCGGCGUGGGACUUUUCGCAUCUCCGCUACUGUGAGGGCGGAAGGCGGCGCCCUUGACCUACGCAGGAUCCUUCCCGGGCUGCGGUGCUCCAUCGGAGGGGAGGCGCCCGGCGGUGUCCUCGCUGCUGCGCCUCCAUGCAUCGGCCCUUCGUGGCCAACACAGAGGUGAUCUCAGUUUACUUUAACCAGGGAUGUUUGUACCAUAUUGCACCUCGGAAUAAAGAAAAAUGGAAUUUCAAUCCCGAAAUCACUUCAACCCCAAAAACGGCCACGUCUCCAAGAAGAACCAGUAAACUAGUCUUGCUGCCCCAAGGAGGCUGGAGCCUGGAGGUCUUGCUGAAAUCCCUAACCUUGUUUUUACUCUAACUCGUUACUUUGAAUUUUAUCCUGCUUGUCUCUUUAAUCACCUAGCCUUGCUUCUCAUGUAAAUAAGACUCUCUCUAGCUGGGAAAGCCGGACAAACUCCAGUUGACCCCUUAAUUUACAAGACACUAAGGGCUCCUUACCCAACCCCCUUCCGCAAGGAGUUGACCUGUGUAAGCAGAUCCUCAGCAUUUCAAAGGAGCCCAAUUAAUUGAUAAGGUAUUAGCACCAACAAUGUAUGAAGUUCCCAGGAUUUUUCUCAAAGAGAAAACAUAAAGCCUUGAGUUCGUGUCCGGCAUACCCCGUAUAUCUAAUUAUAAUGAAAGAUUUAAAGCCUUGCACCUGGUACCGUUGCUCUUCUUGUAACCGUUUGUCUUUUAAAUUGUUUAUCACUUUGUAACCAUUUGUUUUUUGAUUUUGGCAUGUUUUUACUUCUGUAGAAUUAUUGCAUUUGAGUUCCCCUCCCCUUCCUAAACCUAGAUAUAAAAGUUAAUCAACUCCCUUCCUCGGGGCCGAAAGAAUUUUGAGCUUUAGCCGUCUCUUUGGCCGCCGGCUUAAUAAAGGACUCUUAAUUCGUGUCAAAGUAUGGCGUUUUUCUCCAACUCGCCUGGG